AUGCCCCCCAAGAAACAGGCUCAGGCCGGGGGCAGCAAAAAAGCAGAGCAGAAAAAGAAGGAGAAGAUUAUUGAAGACAAAACUUUUGGUUUGAAGAAUAAGAAAGGAGCAAAGCAGCAGAAAUUUAUCAAGGCUGUUACACAUCAGGUUAAAUUUGGUCAACAAAAUCCACAUCAGGUAGCACAGAGUGAAGCUGAAAAGAAAUUGAAGAAGGAUGACAAGAAGAAAGAAUUGCAGGAGCUAAAUGAACUGUUCAAACCUGUAGCUGCUGCUCAAAAAAUAAGUAAAGGUGCAGAUCCCAAGUCUGUGGUAUGUGCAUUCUUCAAGCAAGGACAGUGUACUAAAGGAGAUAGGUGUAAGUUCUCUCAUGACUUGACUCUGGAGAGAAAAUGUGAAAAGUGAAGUGUUUACAUUGAUGCAAGAGAUGAAGAACUUGAAAAAGAUACUAUGGAUAAUUGGGAUGAGAAAAAGCUGGAAGAAGUAGUGAACAAGAAGCACGGUGAGGCGGAAAAGAAAAAACCGAAAACUCAAACAGUGUGCAAGCAUUUCCUUGAAGCUAUUAAAAACAACAAGUAUGGCUGGUUUUGGGUAUGCCCUGGCGGGGGUGAUAUUUGCAUGUAUCGUCAUGCUCUUCCUCCUGGAUUUGUGUUGAAAAAAGGUAAAAAGAAAGAAUAGAAAGAAGAUGAAAUUUCAUUAGAAGAUCUAAUUGAAAGAGAGCGUUCUGCCCUAGGUCCAAAUGUUACCAAAAUCACUCUAGAAUCUUUUCUUGCAUGGAAGAAAAGGAAAAGACAAGAAAAGAUUGAUAAACUUGAACAAGACAUAGAAAGAAGGAAAGCUGACUUCAAAGCAGGGAAAGCACUAGUGAUCAGUGGUCGUGAAGUGUUUGAAUUUCAUCCUGAACUGGUCAAUGAUGAUGAUGAAGAAGCAGAUGAUACCCACUACACCCAGGGAACAGGUGGUGAUGAGGUUGAUGAUUCAGUGAGCAUAAAUGACAUAGAUUUAAGCCAGUACAUCCCAAGAGAUGUAGAUGAAACAGGUAUUACUGUAACCAGUCUUGAAAGAUUCAGCACAUACACUUCCGAUAAAGAUGAAAACAAAUUAAGUGAAGCUUCUGGAGGUAGGGCUGAAAAUCGUGAAAGAAGUGACUUGGAAGAGGACAACGAAAGAGAAGGACCAGAAAAUGGAGCUAUUGAUGCUGUUCCUGUUGAUGAAAAUCUUUUCACUGGAGAGGAUUUGGAUGAACUAGAAGAAGAAUUAAAUACACUUGAUUUAGAAGAAUGACACCAAACAAGUCGAUGAAAAAAUUAAGUCAGCUCAGCAUGAGUUGAAAUUGACUACAUUAAUUUUUUCCACCUAGAAUCAACAGGAUGUUUAUUUCCCAUGCUGAUUCUGGAGGACUUACCCUCCUACAAAAAAGGAAUAUUGUUCCUACAUCUUCUCUUCUGACUUUGGCUUCAUCUCAUAGUAAGUUCAGACUAGUUCAUGAUAAAUUGAAAAUAUAAUGGUCAUUGCAGAAAAUGAUUGAUUGUUGUAACUAUCCACCCAAGUAAGAAGUGUAUCUGCUUUUCAAUCUUUUGGUUUUCAUUUGGGCAUGUGCUAUUACCAGAAACAACAAACUUACAUUUAAAAUACCCUUCAUUUGACAGAGUUUUUAAUGAGUGAUUUAAUUUCCUUUGUAUUUGUAUGUUUAGAAAACUGCCUAAAACGUGAGCACUGUACUUCAUAAAGGAAACUGCAUAUGCAGAGUCAGUAUUGUAUAUCUUUGGACAAUUAGAUGGACAUUUAAAAUGGAACUUCUUUUAUCUGACAGGAUCAGCUACAAUGCCCUGUGUUAAAUUGUUUAAAAGUUUUCCCUUUUCUUUUUUGCCAAUAAAGUUGUAAAUAAAGACUACCAUAAAAAA